UACGUAGGGGCCGAGCGUUGUCCGGAAUUACUGGGCGUAAAGAGCGCGCAGGCGGUCGUUCAAGUCGCGUGUGAAAGCCCCCGGCUCAACUGGGGAGGGUCACGCGAUACUGAUCGACUCGAAGGCAGGAGAGGGAAGUGGAAUUCCAGGUGUAGCGGUGAAAUGCGUAGAUAUCUGGAGGAAUACCGGUGGCGAAGGCGGCAUCCUGGACCGGCAUUGACGCUGAGGAGCGAAAGCCAGGGGAGCAAAGCGGG
rnacentral:rRNA from 1 species